CAGUAGCCGCGGUAAUACGAAGGGUGCAAGCGUUACUCGGAAUUACUGGGCGUAAAGCGUGCGUAGGUGGUGGUUUAAGUCCGUUGUGAAAGCCCUGGGCUCAACCUGGGAACUGCAGUGGAUACUGGGUCACUAGAGUGUGGUAGAGGAUAGUGGAAUUUCCGGUGUAGCAGUGAAAUGCGUAGAGAUCGGAAGGAACAUCUGUGGCGAAGGCGACUAUCUGGGCCAACACUGACACUGAGGCACGAAAGCGUGGGGAGCAAACAGGAUUAGAUACCCCCGUAGUCCUGUCUCUUAUACA
rnacentral:rRNA from 1 species